AACGAACGCUGGCGGCAGGCUUAACACAUGCAAGUCGAGCGCCCCGCAAGGGGAGCGGCAGACGGGUGAGUAACGCGUGGGAAUCUACCCAUCUCUACGGAAUAACCCAUGGAAACGUGUGCUAAUACCGUAUACGUCCUUCGGGAGAAAGCUUUAUCGGAGCUGGAUGAGCCCGCGUUGGAUUAGCUAGUUGGUGGGGUAAAGGCCUACCAAGGCGACGAUCCAUAGCUGGACUGAGAGGAUGAUCAGCCACACUGGGACUGAGACACGGCCGAGACUCCUACGGGAGGCAGCAGUGGGGAAUAUUGGACAAUGGGCGCAAGCCUGAUCCAGCCAUGCCGCGUGAGUGAUGAAGGCCCUAGGGUUGUAAAGCUCUUUCACCGGUGAAGAUAAUGACGGUAACCGGAGAAGAAGCCCCGGCUAACUUCGUGCCAGCCGCCGCAGUAAAAC
rnacentral:rRNA from 1 species